AGCCAACCCUCUCUCCCUCUAUAAAGCUCACUUGGCCGGCCACUCCACCUCCCUUUGCUCUCAUUUUUCACUCCCCACUCCUUCCUCCACUCACUCCUAUCCCUCUCCUACCUCUUCUCCACGAGCUGCUGCUCCUCCUAGCUACCAUGGCCGGCCAUGGCCAUGGAAAUCAUCCAAGAUGCAGCUCCCCUCCUCCCUCAAGCUCAUCCUCACCAUGAGAGCCUCCCUCUCCAUCUUCUCCCCAACCCUAGAUGGUUUAAUCUCCUCUUCUUCUUCCUCCAUUGCUAAGAUUGGAUCUUGAUGCAGGUGCAUGUUGGUCCAAGCAUGGAGAAGCUUGAGCUAUCCUCAGAUCUGAAGUUCUUGAGCAAAAUCCAAAUCGAGUGAUUCAAAGUUCUGCAGAUAGAUACGGAAAAGAUCUACAACUUGGCGUUGGUCUCAUACUCAAAUUCGUUACGGAUUGUCCGUGGUCAAGAUCUGGUCAGAUCUGACUUUGUCGAAUUAAACCAGGAGCUUGGGAACGAAUCUUUGAGUGAAACAAAUUGGGGGAUGUUUGGUUUAUACCAUGGUGAUAACCGAGAGAGGCAAUUGCUAAGUUGUGAUACUCUCAUACCUUUACUAGAUGCGAACAAUUCCGGAGAAGAAGAAGAAGUGGAAUUGGACAAGGAUUUUAUUUAUAUUGUUGGGAUUCUUAUAUUGAUAGAGUUGAAGAAGUACAGGGACAAAUAAGCCAAG